rnacentral:lncRNA from 1 species
UCCUUCGUCUGUGGUCUUCCGCAAGGAGCAGUAAUUCAGCUUGCAAAAACAAACAAGCAGAAAGCGCUUGGACAAUUGAUGGAUCGGGUAGUGACAGAGCUUAGCUCUGAAGGCUUCCAUGAUGCCGGCUAGUGUAAACACAGGUCACACACGUGAUGCCAGCAUUGCUUUGUCGCGGAAAGUGACGUUGCAGACCUUAAAACUCUGGUUUUGUCCGUCCACACGCAGACACCCAAAACGGAGAAAACGCAGAUCUUCACUUUGGCCGGAGUUUUUAAAAAGAUCAGUUUUCGUGUGAAAAAACUCAGUUUUCGUAUGGACGACAGGCCAAAACCUGUCCACACGUAGCCGGGGAUCUGCCAAAACGUAGAUAUUUUUCUAAGUUUUGGCCUGUCAUCCACACGAAAACGGAUCUUUUUUAAAAAAAACGGCUACGUGUGGACUAGGUUUUGGCAGAUCCCCGGCUACGUGUGGACAGGGCCUAAAACUCAGGGAAAACCCAAAUGGCCCUGGGCCUUAACAAAAGUCAUUAGAAAUAAUGACAAAGUUGCUAAGUUGGCAACAAAAACAAACUCGACAAGUAAAAUGUUUAAUACAUUUCAAAAGAUCAAGCACCAUUGUUUUAGGGGGCGUGGCCUAAAUUUACCUGCAUAAAAGGCCAUGGAACCCACCUGACAGAAAGCUCCUGCUGCAGACGGUAAGAUGCGCAUCUUUUUCUUCUCUGAGACUUUCUGGUAAAAGAGCAAAAGGAAAAGUUUAUCAUGCUGCCAUAUUCUACAACUCAAACAUAUAAUGGAGUUUUAUUUAGCUGAUUUUGAUGCUACAGUGUCUUAUUAUUUUUUUACUGAAACAAAAAGUCUUAACAGGUAUCACCAGCUUCUCUUUUCUCUGGCAGUUUUGAGUCCAUCAUGCUGAAGUCAGGAGCUCUGGUUCUCUUCCUGGCAGUUGCUGCCAGCCAGUUUCACCAGUACCAGUGUGUGAGGAUUAUUGGUACCGGAAGUGCGGACUUCAGUUCCUGUCCUAUCACGUACUUUGGAUUAAAUCAUACUGUGUUGCAAAUACACUUUGAAGACCCUCUUUUCAAGGUGUGUGCAAAAGACGACAACCCAGACUGCCUGCUUCUGGUGGUUCCAGGAACCGACCGCGCUUCGGUGGAGGUUCUGGGUCAGGGGCCAGGUCUUGGAUCACUCAUCCAAAAAACUUUCCACAACAUCAAGUCUGCUUCACCCUGCACACUUAAAAUCAAACUGCAAGAUUCUGCAGGCAUGACUCAUCUGACAUUUUUAGUCUUCAACUUUGGCAAACAAUCAGUUCUGCAGUUCAAUCCAACCAGACUCUUCACCCUGUCUGACCUUAACGUCACGUUUGUAUUCCAUAGCAAUCCUGCAACAUCAACACUAUAUAAAUUAUCUGACUGGAAGAACGGAGUGCUCAUAGACUCAAGUGGCUGGUUAGUGAAUAGAACACAAAAUAAAAUAACAAGGCCAGGUAAAUCUAAUUGUUUAAAACAAAAAAUCUGUAUUAACUUUUUCCAAACUUCAUAUCACCCCCGGCAGGUCUGGUUAUAG